rnacentral:rRNA from 1 species
AUUGAACGCUGGCGGCAUGCUUUACACAUGCAAGUCGAACGGUAACAGGUUAAGCUGACGAGUGGCGAACGGGUGAGUAAUGCAUCGGAACGUGCCCGAUCGUGGGGGAUAACGCAGCGAAAGCUGCGCUAAUACCGCAUACGAUCUGAGGAUGAAAGCGGGGGACCGUAAGGCCUCGCGCGAUCGGAGCGGCCGAUGUCAGAUUAGGUAGUUGGUGGGGUAAAGGCCCAACAAGCCGACGAUCUGUAGCUGGUCUGAGAGGACGACCAGCCCAACUGGGACGGAGACACGGCCCAGACUCCUACGGGAGGAAGCAGUGGGGAAUUUUGGACAAUGGGCGAAAGCCUGAUCAAGCAAUGCGGCGUGCAGGAAGAAGGCCUUCGGGUUGUAAACUGCUUUUGUACGGAGCGAAAAGGUCCUUUCUAAUACAAGGGGCUCAUGACGGUACCGUAAGAAUAAGCACCGGCUAACUACGUGCCAGCCGCCGCCGUAA